AGCGUGACGGGGGGAGUCCGAGUGCCAUCCUAACGGAUGGCUUUUCGUGAGACCAAAUCUCUCACGGAAUAAGUGGUGGGUAAAUCUCGUGCCAGCCGCCGCGGUAAUACGAGUAGCACAAGUGGUACCCACGAAUAUUGAGCUUAAAGCGUUCGUAGCCGGCCAAGUCAGUUUCCUGUGAAAUCUACCCGCUUAACGGGUAGGCGUGCAGGGAAUACUACUUGGCUAGGGAACGGGGGAGGUCAGGAGUACUCUAGGGGGAGCGGUAAAAUGCUGUAAUCCUUGGAGGACUAACGAUGGCGAAGGCACCUGACUAAAACGUGUCCGACGGUGAGGGACGAAGGCUAGGGGAGCGAACGGGAUUAGGUACCCCGGUAGUCCUAGCAGUAAAUUAUGCAGAUUUGGCGUUGCAUUCACCACGAGUGGGUGCAGUGCCGUAGGGAAACCGUUUAAUCUGCCGCU
rnacentral:rRNA from 1 species